rnacentral:rRNA from 1 species
UACGAAGGGGCUAGCGUUGUUCGGAAUCACUGGGCGUAAAGGGCGCGUAGGCGGCCGAUCAAGUCGGGGUGAAAGCCUGUGGCUCAACCACAGAAUUGCCUUCGAUACUGUUUGGCUUGAGACCGGAAGAAGGUUAGUGGAACUGCGAGUGUAGAGGUGAAAUUCGAUGAGAUAUUCGCAAGAACACCAGUGGCGAAGGCGGCUGACUGGUCC